rnacentral:rRNA from 1 species
AGGAGUGGAGCCUGCGGCUUAAUUUGACUCAACACGGGAAACCUCACCAGGCCCAGACACUGGAAGGAUUGACAGAUUGAGAGCUCUUUCUUGAUUCAGUGGGUGGUGGUGCAUGGCCGUUCUUAGUUGGUGGAGCGAUUUGUCUGGUUAAUUCCGAUAACGAACGAGACUCUAGCCUACUAAAUAGACGUUAAACUUUCCAGUAUCUCGAAGGCUCACAUCUCUUGAUUCCUUACUCUAUAGCACCAAUUCACUUCGGUGUUUUGACUCCUUGGGUGGGCAGGAGUUUGUGGUUUUUACUACUGGCGUACAUAUAUAUCUUCUUAGAGGGACAGGCGGCUUCUAGCCGCACGAGAUUGAGCAAUAACAGGUCUGUGAUGCCCUUAGAUGUUCUGGGCCG